CAUAAAUACAUGAGAAAACAUACAUGCUUCGUGGAUGUCACAAAUUUGAAAUAAGUUGCUUUGGCACAGCCAUGAGACAAAUCCUUCCUGGAGGUAGCAGAAGGCAUUAGUAAUUAUGUCAAAAUAUUAAUGUCUCACUUCAGUACCCAGCAGGCAGACACGUUUCUCCAAAAGUUUUGAGAACUCAUGUGCUACCAUGUAAAAUACAUGAACUUAGCAAUAAGUGGUAGGAGGAACUGACUUGCUUCUUCUUUCUACUUCCUACCCUGUUAUAGUGCACACAGUUGAUUGUCUGUAUAGACUACAUGGCUUAAUUAGUGCAUGAAAUUAGCAGAAAAUACACCUGCAGGAUAAGGUCCUUCUAUAUUUACCAUAAACUUGGAUACUGGGCUAGUUAUUUAAUGAAAAAAAAAUGGAUACCUUCAGCUGCCAAAAUCCACGGUUUGGCUGGCAAAUAAGGUUUAUUGUACUUUUACCCCUUUCAGAAAUUAGGACAUUUAAUUAUUAAAGCAUAAAUCUUAACUUCUUAAAUAUAAAUCCCAUUAAUCCUAUGGGAUUGGGAUUUCAUCUGAAGGGCACAGUUUGGACAUCUAGCCUGUUUUUCACGCUCUGCAAAUUACCCUGCCCCCCACCCCCCACCCCCCCCCCCCCCCAGCUGUUGAUCUGAAAGGCUGGGAGACUCCUCUAGCUCCUAUGUUGUAUUUGUCUUUCCAGGUGCAGAGUGCCUUGGAUCCCUGAAGAUGCCUUGAACAGUUGUCUGCAACUGGAACCUGUGGCAUAGCUCUGCCUGUUGGGGUCUGGAUACACAGCAGAGAGGCUCCCGAGUGCUGUGGAUUAAGGGUGCACCCAAACAAUGUAAACUCACUCUAAAAAUGCAUCAUAUGUCAGGAUGGAAGCUCAUCUCUAUGGACUCACUGACUCUUUGCCUUGAACGUUCCACAAGCGAUUGUGUGAAAUAUUUUCUCUGAAACCACCAAGGACGCAAUUUCCGAGUGGUCUUACUGAAAACUGGAAAAGAACGUGCUAAAAACAAGCUCUCCAAGGAUCCAAGCCCUGUUAGUUCAAGUUCAGCCCGUACAGAAGAGUGAUACUAAGUUUAGGAGCCAGGAUAACACCAUCCUGUAGGAUUCAGCUGAAGGUUUUCCAUGCAAUAAGGAGGAAUAUGUGGUGCCUCUUUGUCUUACAGCACACAGAUAAGGUCUGUGGACUGUGGAAAAUUAAUGGAACACAUUUCACUUGACUUUCAGCUUCAGUUUGUCACUGAAAUCCCAUGAAAUAAGGCUUUAGUUUCAAUAACCCUUCAAUGAUUAAUCAUUUUCUGUAGUUUCAUGUAGUCUGUCAUUAGUAUAUUCUGACUUUCACUACAACAUCAUUUAGAAGUCUCAAAGAUUAGCUUAAUAGCUGGUGCUGUGCAGCCAGAUUUUCACCAAAGAAUUUAAUAUCUUGUUUAUAAUCAACAAGCGAAUAAAAAAACUGAGAACAGAGAGACAAUAAAAAAAUAUUCUAGACACUUUUCCACGCAGUUAACCCUCUCACUCGUAGGGUUAUUAUUUACAAGUCUUAUAAAUAAUUUUAAGAGAGGUUUUAGAGGCAGAACACAGGGAAGAGUAGAAAUGGGUGAGGGAAUUCUCUUUAAGGUAUGAUGAAUUUAGCUUAAAACUAAACAGUCAACGUAGGAUCUCUGGAUUUGCUGGGGUGUUAGUUUGGACAGAUGACAGGAUGAUGGAUAGGGUUUUGAUUCAGCACCACAGAACAGUUUUUUUAAGCUUGUCACAAAUAAAACCAAUCAAAGAUGACUCAUGGUGAGAAAAGAGAGAGCAAACAGGACAUAUAGCUGUAAAGAACCCUCACAGAAAGCAGGAUGGCAUCAAAGAAGAGCUUCCUGAAAAGCAGUCUAAAAGAACAAGAGAAAGAGCAGGAAAAAGAAGGAAUCAGCCACCUUGACAACCAUCAAGUGGUCCAGGCUAAGAACCAAGAACUCAUCCUGAGGUUUGCCCAGGAAAUGAACAGAUUUUCAUCAACAUAAGGGAAAUACAGAAUGGACAUUUAGUCCAGAGCUCCAGAAGGGAAAUACAACAUUUGGAAACACACAGUCCAUGAGCUAAAGACGAAAGAAGAGAAAGCUGGGGAAGCUGUGAGAAGUAACUUAGCACACAUCCGUGCACAGUUGGAGCCCUCCAGAUUCCGCUUGGUCUGUCUUUCCUUGGUGUUCACAUGCCUUCUCCAAUCAGCAAGACUGUCUGAAGUAAGUACACAGCUCUGAGAAAAGUACCCUCUUCUUAAUUAUUUCUGCUGUAAAUUCAGCAAGAAAAUAAGUGCAAAAGGAUUCCCCUAUAACAGCUCCUAGGAAAAGAAUGCAGUUUCUCAGAUGUUAAAGCGGCGUUUUGCAACUAUUGCUAUUUACAGACUGGGCUGCAUUUGAAACUUUAAGACAAGUCACAGUUUGGGUCUAGGAUCAUUGAAAUGAUAUUUUAAAAAUGUUCCUCCCACCUUUCAUAAUGCCCUUCUCAGUGACAGCAUUAACUGCAUGCAUCUAGCAUGGCUUGUAGCUGCCUUGUCUGUUAGCAACAAAGUAAGCAUGUAUAAAAUAUUCUAGCCUGAUUUGAUAAAUUGGAAAACAAAGUAAAGUAGACAGGUAAUUAAAAGUAAUAAACCAGGUUUAAUUGGUUAAGUAACCACAUAGAAAUUCAGUGCCAGCUGCAAAGGUGUAAAAUACAGCAACUUGGGUUUCAGUGUCAUAAGUAUCUCUGAUGCUGUUGAGCCACAGUAAUUUCAGAUACCGUGGGGAAGCUACUAUUUCAUUACUAUGAAUGUAGAAAUCAUUACCACACCUCCUUCUAUACACUUAAAUAAAAUAUGCAAUGCAAAUAACUGACAUCCUGGACGUAGCAGGCAGGUGAUUAAAUAGCAGGUACUCAAGAAUUAUUGCCAAUGGGCCCCAAAAGGCAUUUUUAUAUUUCUGCUGGCCAAGUUAAUAAGUGGCCUGAUGACCCCAUCUCACAGCAAUACACCGUUAAAUUUCAAUAGGAGUGAUGACAAGCCUUCAUAAAUAAAAACACCCAUUUGCAAUAGCUUUCCACUAAAGAAGGGUUAGGUGAGGCACUUUGCUAGCAUGAGUACUUGCAGCUGAGGGCAUUAUCCUUGAACACUACUACAGAGGUCCAACAGACUUGCACAGGCAGAGACAGUCAGCACUGUCCAGAAGAAGUGGAUGUUCUUAAAGCUCAGUGAUCUCCUGAAGGCCAUCACGAGAGAUAGUAAAGUUAAAGCUGUCAAAUUACAUUAAAUGUAACACCAUUCCCUUUUGACUCUCUCAGCAGAAAUAGCUGGAACAGCAGCACGGAUGGGCUGGGCGUGGAAGCCUUGUACUCCUUUCAUCCUUACGGAUCCCAAACAGCAACGUCAGAGCAGGAGGGGUAGAACUACCGAAGCCUGUACCUGGAUAUGCUGGUCAUAUUGGCAUGUUCAUUGCCCCUUGGCAGCCCAACUGGGAGGUAAAAAGCAGUACUCGAAGUUUUGAAGGAAGCUUUUGUAGUUAAUUCACACUUGGAUUAGAUAAAAUGCAAGCAAAUUAAUGCAUUUGAGCUGCGAGACAGAGUUUAAGACUCCGUAGCUUUUGAGUGGAACGGAUUUGCCAUGGCAGUGACAGGGAAGCACUGGGCAUGAAGAGACACGGUAGCAUCAGUGCCCACAGUGCCCGGAAUGGAUCUGCAUCUUGGUCUUUAUCCAGCACUCACAUGUUCUGCAGAAGCCUUUUCUGAAAACAAGAUGUACAAACAGAAGUGCCACCUCUAGGACAAGCAGAAUGAUCCUUUGUGCUCUAAUAAGCAUUGGAAAGACUUCAUCUAGAGAACUGACUCAGCCUUUGGACAUCACUGACCCCAAAAAGGAACUAAAAGGAGACAGAAUUGUUCAGGGAACAGUGUCAGUGACAAGAAAAAUGUGAAAUAAAAUGUUUAAGCAAGGAAGACGAUAUAAAAGAGACUUGAUAAUAAGUAAAUAACUCCUACAUUUAAUCCCUCCUUCAUAGAAGGCAGUACCAGGAAUAAGUAAAGCAAGAGGCUAAUAAAUAGGAAAAAAUAUCUAAUUAUAAGGAUGGUUAAAUACAGUCAUCUCCUCUCUGGAUGUUUACAGUGAUGGAUGUCAACAUCCACAGGGAAUGACAGAAGUAUGGUUGAUCCUAUUUGGUGCAGAUCAGGCAACCUCAGGGAGCCUGACUCUUAAGACUAUACUUGAAAUACCUACAGACUGGGUGCCUUUGAAUUAGCAUCCAGCUGUAUAUAUGUCUCAUAUAUGUCUGUAGCACUGCAACAGACUUCAGGGGUUCGAUUUUAUGAUACAGUUAAGGAAGAGGGGCCAUACCAAGAUAUGAGUUUCUUCAGUUUUUCAGAGAAAUACUUUGUAAAUCUGGGUGUUGAAAUUCUCGGUCGUAGACAUAUAAAUGCAUGAUAGAACUUGGGAUAAAACACACAUGAAAGCCUCCAAAACUAACAGGUUUGGAUUAUCAGGACUGUCCCAAAUUCACAGGAUUCGUGGGCAUGUGUUAAGAGAAAUCUUCAAGCUGGCAUCAGAAUAAAAUUCUGUAAUUUUUAAUUA